GGGCCCGUAGCUUAGUCUGGCGGAGCGUCUGGCUCAUAAGAUCCUUCUGAGAGACCAGAUGGUCGUCGGUUCAAAUCCGACCGGGCCCA
rnacentral:tRNA from 1 species